AUCAGUAAUACUCCCGUGACUCAAUGAAUACGUUAAGAUUUGUGACUAGUCUCAAAUAACGAGAGUGCUAGAGUAGUGUGUUUGCAUUUGCGCACAAACGCUUGCUCAGUGAUACUCGACCGACCUACGCUGUAGACCGCCGUGUUCGAAAUAGAUCGGGAGGUUAAGGUUUCUCUUAGAUUGCCCGCCGUGUUCGAAAUGGAUUGGGAGGUUAAGGUUUCUCUUGGAUUGCCCGCCGUGUUCGAAAUGUAUCGGAACGUUAAGGUUUCUCUUGGAUUGCCCCCCGUUUUCAAAAUGGAUCGGGAGGUUAAGGUUUCUCUUGGAUGCCCGCCGUGUUCGAAAUGGAUCGGGAGGUUAAGGUUUCUCUUGGAUUGCCCACCGUGUUCGAAAUGGAUCGGGAGGUUAAGGUUUCUCUUGGAUUGCACGCCGUGUUCGAAAUGGAUCGGGAGGUUAAGGUUUCUCUUGGAUUGCACGCCGUGUUCGAAAUGGAUCGGGAGGUUAAGGUUUCUCUUGGAUUGCCGGCCGUGUUCGAAAUGGAUCGGGAGGUUAAGGUUUCUCUUGGAUUGCCCGCCGUGUUCGAAAUGGAUCGGGAGGUUAAGGUUUCUCUUGGAUUGCCCGCCGUGUUCGAAAUAGAUGUGGAAGUUGACCAUAGAUGGAACUAUACAAACUAAAUUCGCUGACUCACAUCGGGACAUAUAAACAUAUUUUCAUAUGACGUUGUUCCUUGCAUUUCUCUGGUAUAAUCAAAUAUGUAUAGCUAAUGUUAUAACGAUGAUGUAUGUACGCGAUGCCUGUACAUCGUUGGAUUUAAAUGCCAUUUACAUUUAACUUUGGAAUACUUUGCAGUAGGUUGACUGCCGUGUCCGAAAUAUUUCUAGAUGUUAUCAAUACUUUACAAAUUAAAUUCGGUGACACACUUAGUGACGUAUUUCUUUCUGAUAUUGUUCCUCGCCGAGAUGGCCCAGUGGUUCGAACGCGUGAAUCUUAACCGAUGAUCGUGGGUUCAAACCCGGGCAAGCACCACUGAAUUUUCAUGUGCUUAAUUUGUGUUUAUAAUUCAUCUCGUGCUUGUCGGUGAAGGAAAACAUCGUGAGGAAACCUGCAUGUGUCUAAUUUCAUUGAAAUCCUGCCACAUGUGUAUUCUACCAACCCGCAUUGGAGCAGCGUGGUGGAAUAAGCUCCAAACCUUCUCCUUAAAGGGAGAGGAGGCCUUAGCCCAGCAGUGGGACAUUAACAGGCUGUUACUGUAUUGUUCCUCGCAUUUGUUCUUGUGGAUUUAAAUUAGCAUUUUGUUUUAAUUCUUCAAAUGUAUUCGCUAAGAUAUUUAUCGCGGUUAUGGCGUUGUAUUUAUUUCAUGUCUGAAUUUCAUCGAGGAUCUUGGUAAUGAGUUUUGCUUGUAUGUUCGUUGAGAAGACGACUUGAGAGAUUGGAUAGUUAAGCUAUACAAUUGAAUUUAAACACGAGUUUUCUUAUAUAGAAUAGGUAAGGAGACGAUCAUAUGGGCCACGUGAUGAUAUGUGGUCACCAACAAGACUAGAAAAUAAGUAAAGAAGAUGAUAAGCGGUCAUGGAUAUUCGCGUCGUAAGAAAUAUUAACCUUACAUGACCAAUGCGCCACAAACCUUAAGAACUAAGAUGUUAUGUCCCUUGUGCCUGUCCACUGGCUCGCUAACCC